UUCUUUGGUGCAUUGAGGGCUAGAGUGUACGACGACGAAGUGAGGAAGUGGAUUUCUGGGAUAGGUGUUGAAGGAAUUGGAAAGAGGCUUGUGAACUCAAAGGAAGGACCACCGGAAUUCGACCAGCCAAAGAUGACACUAGAAAAGCUGUUGGAAUAUGGUAACAUGCUUGUCCAAGAACAAGAGAAUGUGAAGAGAGUCCAAUUGGCAGACAAGUAUUUGAGUGAGGCUGCUCUUGGUGAUGCUAAUGAAGAUGCUAUCAAAAGGGGAACUUUCUAAAAUGCAGACUCUUAAACAAGAGGCCUUUGUUGGAGGUUUGUACUUUCCUUGAUGUAACUCCAUUUUGAUCAUAAUUAGAAAAACUUGGUCUAAAAUUACUUUGUUGUUUUCUUUGCAGAUAUUGCUAUGUUCCUGUUCUUGAUUCAAAAGCCUCAAACUUUGAUCCAACUACUUGAAGUUGUGGUGGCACGUAACAUUCUCAAUGUAUCAUUUUGGUGGAAGGAAAAGAUUCCAAGUUUGAGAUGAUUUUAUAAUAUUUUUCUUUUUGGAGUGUCUCCCUUUGUAAUUUUGUUAUAUGUACAAUGUUAAAUUUGUAUUUGGAGCCUUUCUCUUUCUGCCUAUUACA
rnacentral:lncRNA from 1 species